rnacentral:rRNA from 1 species
UACGAAGGGGGCUAGCGUUGCUCGGAAUGACUGGGCGUAAAGGGCGCGUAGGCGGUUUGGUCAGUCAGGCGUGAAAUUCCCGGGCUUAACCUGGGGGCUGCGCUUGAUACAUCCAGGCUUGAGUGGGGAAGAGGGUCGUGGAAUUCCCAGUGUAGAGGUGAAAUUCGUAGAUAUUGGGAAGAACACCGGUGGCGAAGGCGGCGACCUGGUCCUUUACUGACGCUGAGGCGCGAAGGCGUGGGGAGCAAACAGG